AUACGUAGGGGGCGAGCGUUGUCCGGAAUGAUUGGGCGUAAAGGGCGCGUAGGCGGCGCGGUAAGUCUGGAGUGAAAGUCCUGCUUUCAAGGUGGGAAUUGCUUUGGAUACUGCCGCGCUUGAGUGCAGGAGAGGUUAUCGGAAUUCCCGGUGUAGCGGUGAAAUGCGUAGUGAUCGGGAGGAACACCAGUGGCGAAGGCGGGAAACUGGACUGCAAAGGACGCUGAGGCGCGAAAGUGUGGGGAUCAAACAGGAGUAGAUACCCUGGUAGUCCACACUGUAAACGAUGAAUGCUAGAUGUAGGGUGUAUCGCCCCCUUCUGUGCCGCAGUCAACACAAUAAGCAUUCCGCCUGGGGAGUCCGGGCGCAAGGGUGAAGCUCAAAUCAAUUCGCGGGG
rnacentral:rRNA from 1 species